GUUCCGCCGAGCCCGUCCCUUGGCGAUGGUGUCGCUGGAUGCUGGGAAGGGAUGGUGGGAAGAGCGUCCAUCCAUUGGAGCGUCACGAAUUAGACAAGGAAGCCUUGGGCUCCCUUGAGAGAGUCACGGUUGCUCCUCCGUUUACCCGCCCUUCAUUGAACUCAUUUACUUGGACAUUCAGAGCGCCGGACAGAGAUCCCUUGGCGCGAACACCCUCGGAGGUCCUCACCACGCUCUGUUGGAAUGACACAGUCGGAUUCCGAAGCUGCGAAGGGUGAGGGAGGGGCUGCAGCCCAGGAGCUGAGGAGGAGAGGCCCGCGCACCCACUGGGGCCAAGUGGUGCGGAAUAACCGGACCGACCCCCGACGCUGCCUGACAGACAGAGUCUCCCUCUGUCGCCCAGGUUGGAGCAGUGGCGCUAUCAUAGCUCACUGCAGCCU
rnacentral:sRNA from 1 species